AUGAACGCUGGCGGCGUGCCUAAUACAUGCAAGUCGAGCGAACGGACGAGAAGCUUGCUUCUCUGAUGUUAGCGGCGGACGGGUGAGUAACACGUGGAUAACCUACCUAUAAGACUGGGAUAACUUCGGGAAACCGGAGCUAAUACCGGAUAAUAUUUUGAACCGCAUGGUUCAAAAGUGAAAGACGGUCUUGCUGUCACUUAUAGAUGGAUACGCGCUGCAUUAGCUAGUUGGUAAGGUAACGGCUUACCAAGGCAACGAUGCAUAGCCGACCUGAGAGGGUGAUCGGCCACACUGGAACUGAGACACGGUCCAGACUCCUACGGGAGGCAGCAGUAGGGAAUCUUCCGCAAUGGGCGAAAGCCUGACGGAGCAACGCCGCGUGAGUGAUGAAGGUCUUCGGAUCGUAAAACUCUGUUAUUAGGGAAGAACAUAUGUGUAAGUAACUGUGCACAUCUUGACGGUACCUAAUCAGAAAGCCACGGCUAACUACGUG
rnacentral:rRNA from 1 species